rnacentral:rRNA from 1 species
UGGGGAAUUUUCCGCAAUGGGCGAAAGCCUGACGGAGCAAUACCGCGUGAGGGAGGAAGGCUUUUGGGUUGUAAACCUCUUUUCUCAAGGAAGAAGAUCUGACGGUACUUGAGGAAGAAGCACCGGCUAACUCCGUGCCAGCAGCCGCGGUAAUACGGAGGGUGCAAGCGUUAAUCGGAAUUACUGGGCGUAAAGCGCGCGUAGGUGGUUGUGUAAGUCGGAUGUGAAAGCCCAGGGCUUAACCUUGGAAUUGCAUCCGAUACUGCAUGACUAGAGUAUGGUAGAGGGAAGUGGAAUUUCCGGUGUAGCGGUGAAAUGCGUAGAUAUCGGAAGGAACACCAGUGGCGAAGGCGACUUCCUGGGCCAAUACUGACACUGAGGUGCGAAAGCGUGAGGAGCAAACAGGAUUAGAUACCCCUGUAGUCC